rnacentral:rRNA from 1 species
GACGAACGCUGGCGGCGUGCUUAACACAUGCAAGUCGAACGGAAAGGCCCUGCUUUUGUGGGGUGCUCGAGUGGCGAACGGGUGAGUAACACGUGAGUAACCUGCCCUUGACUUUGGGAUAACUUCAGGAAACUGGGGCUAAUACCGGAUAGGAGCUCCUGCUGCAUGGUGGGGGUUGGAAAGUUUCGGCGGUUGGGGAUGGACUCGGGGCUUAUCAGCUUGUUGGUGGGUAGUGGCUUACCAAGGCGUUGACGGGUAGCCGGCCUGAGAGGGUGACCGGCCACAUUGGGACUGAGAUACGGCCCAGACUCCUACGGGAGGCAGCAGUGGGGAAUAUUGCACAAUGGGCGGAAGCCUGAUGCAGCAACGCCGCGUGCGGGAUGACGGCCUUCGGGUUGUAAACCGCUUUCGCCUGUGACGAAGCGUGAGUGACGGUAAUGGGUAAAGAAGCACCGGCUAACUACGUG